rnacentral:rRNA from 1 species
UUGGUUAAGUUAGAAAGGGCGCACGGUGGAUGCCUUGGCACUAGGAGCCGAAGAAGGACGGGACUAACACCGAUAUGCUUUGGGGAGCUGUACGUAAGCGUUGAUCCAGAGAUUUCCGAAUGGGGGAACCCACUAUCUUUAGUCGGAUAGUAUCCUUACGUGAAUACAUAGCGUGAGGAAGGCAGACCCAGGGAACUGAAACAUCUAAGUACCUGGAGGAAGAGAAAGAAAAAUCGAUUUCCUGAGUAGCGGCGAGCGAAACGGAAAGAGCCCAAACCAAGAAGCUUGCUUCUUGGGGUUGUAGGACACUCUAUACGGAGUUACAAAAGAAAGUUAUAAAUGAAGCGGUCUGGAAAGGCCCGCCAAAGACGGUAACAGCCCGGUAGUUGAAAUGGCUUUCCCUCCAGAGUGGAUCCUGAGUACGGCGGAACACGUGAAAUUCCGUCGGAAUCCGGGAGGACCAUCUCCCAAGGCUAAAUACUCCCUAGUGACCGAUAGUGAACCAGUACCGUGAGGGAAAGGUGAAAAGCACCCCGGAAGGGGAGUGAAACAGUUCCUGAAACCGUGUGCCUACAAGUAGUUAGAGCCCGUUAAUGGGUGAUAGCGUGCCUUUUGUAGAAUGAACCGGCGAGUUACGAUUUGUUGCAAGGUUAAGCGGAAAAAGCGGAGCCGUAGCGAAAGCGAGUCUGAAUAGGGCGCAUAAGUAACAGGUCGUAGACCCGAAACCAGGUGAUCUACCCAUGUCCAGGAUGAAGGUAAGGUAAUACUUACUGGAGGUCCGAACCCACGCACGUUGAAAAGUGCGGGGAUGAGGUGUGGGUAGCGGAGAAAUUCCAAUCGAACUUGGAGAUAGCUGGUUCUCUCCGAAAUAGCUUUAGGGCUAGCCUCGAGGUAAAGAGUCAUGGAGGUAGAGCACUGUUUGGACUAGGGGCCCUUCUCGGGUUACCGAAUUCAGAUAAACUCCGAAUGCCAUGUACUUAUACUCGGGAGUCAGACUGCGAGUGAUAAGAUCCGUAGUCGAAAGGGAAACAGCCCAGACCACCAGUUAAGGUCCCCAAAUAUAUGUUAAGUGGAAAAGGAUGUGGGGUUGCUUAGACAACCAGGAUGUUGGCUUAGAAGCAGCCACCAUUGAAAGAGUGCGUAAUAGCUCACUGGUCGAGUGACCCCGCGCCGAAAAUGUACCGGGGCUAAACAUAUUACCGAAACUGUGGAUGAACCUCUUUAGAGGUUCGUGGUAGGAGAGCGUUCUAAGGGCGGUGAAGUCAGACCGGAAGGACUGGUGGAGCGCUUAGAAGUGAGAAUGCCGGUAUGAGUAGCGAAAGAAGGGUGAGAAUCCCUUCCACCGAAUAUCUAAGGUUUCCUGAGGAAGGCUCGUCCGCUCAGGGUUAGUCGGGACCUAAGCCGAGGCCGAUAGGCGUAGGCGAUGGACAACAGGUAGAGAUUCCUGUACCAGUGCUAAUUGUUUAACCGAUGGGGUGACACAGAAGGAUAGGGAAUCGCACGAAUGGAAAUGUGCGUCCAAGCAGUGAGUGUGAGAAGUAGGCAAAUCCGCUUCUCGCGAAGCAUGAGCUGUGAUGGGGAAGGAAAUUAAGUACGGAAGUUCCUGAUUUCACGCUGUCAAGAAAAGCCUCUAGGAAGAGUAGUACUGCCCGUACCGCAAACCGACACAGGUAGAUGAGGAGAGAAUCCUAAGGUGAGCGAGAGAACUCUCGUUAAGGAACUCGGCAAAAUGACCCCGUAACUUCGGGAGAAGGGGUGCUCUAUUAGGGUGCAAGCCCGAGAGAGCCGCAGUGAAUAGGCCCAGGCGACUGUUUAGCAAAAACACAGGUCUCUGCAAAACCGUAAGGUGACGUAUAGGGGCUGACGCCUGCCCGGUGCUGGAAGGUUAAGAGGAGUGCUUAGCUUCGGCGAAGGUACGAAUUGAAGCCCCAGUAAACGGCGGCCGUAACUAUAACGGUCCUAAGGUAGCGAAAUUCCUUGUCGGGUAAGUUCCGACCCGCACGAAAGGCGCAACGAUCUGGGCACUGUCUCAACGAGAGACUCGGUGAAAUUAUAGUACCUGUGAAGAUGCAGGUUACCCGCGACAGGACGGAAAGACCCCGUGGAGCUUUACUGCAACCUGAUAUGGAAUGUUUGUACCGCUUGUACAGGAUAGGUAGGAGCCGAAGAGACGUGUGCGCUAGCAUACGAGGAGGCAAUGGUGGGAUACUACCCUGGCUGUAUGACCAUUCUAACCC